UGUACUCUCAGAACUCCUAAGCAUGAAAUGCUGCGUGUCUAAGCAUUUAUAUCACUUGGCUGGGACGAGGCAUGCGUUCUUUUUUCAUACCAAUUCAUCGUGAGCCUCUCUGAUGCAUUUUGGGACUCACGGUUAUUGUUGGGAUUAUACUCGGAUUCCUGGACGGGCCGGUCCCCAAAGCUUUACUAAACAACGACAAAGCCAGCAGGUACCAUUUAUAUCCACGCUCCAGGCGCUACACCGGGUGAACCCUUCACAGCUGGGAUUUUUCUCAUUUCACAGUGGAGAGGACACAGAUCCAGAGAGAUGAAACAAACCAACGGAAGCCUGGACACACAAUAGGCAAAGUGAAGACAAUCAGAUUGUCCUUCAAACCUAUGGAGCUUUGCUGUGUAUAAGGAUCUGGUGAAUCCUUCCAUCAAGUAAAUAAUAGUCUGUGCAUAAAUCCAGAUGGAUACAGUUUGUGCCAUUUCAGUUCCUGUUAUCAUGCUUGGAGGUACACUGAAGUGCAGUGAGCCCCGGGGGUAUCCGAGGCCGCGCUGGAAGACUGAGCACAGGCAGCAGAAGAUAUUAAUAAUGUGAUGUCAACACAGCACACAUUCAGGAAACUCCAGGAAAAGAACACAAACAAAACCCUGGUCCGAAGUACUUUUUGGAAAGGCUUUACUGUGAGAGGAUGGUAAGGGUUUUACAAGGGCUAUGAAGAAACGUAUUUAAGUUAAUAAAGUUCUUUAUUGAGUGUUUA